CCCUUAGAUGUCCGGGGCCGCACGCGCGCUACACUGAAGGAAUCAGCGUGGCUUUCUCCCUGACCCGAAAGGGUUGGGAAACCCGUUGAAUCUCCUUCGUGAUAGGGAUUGGGGCUUGAAAUUGUUCCCCAUGAACGAGGAAUUCCCAGUAAGCGCGAGUCAUAAGCUCGCGUUGAUUACGUCCCUGCCCUUUGUACACACCGCCCGUCGCUACUACCGAUUGAACGGUUUAGUGAGGGCCUCGGCUUGGUCUCGGCCCGCUCUUUACCGGGCGGCGCCGUUGGUCGAGAAGACGCUCGAACUUGAUCGUUUAGAGGAAGUAAAAGUCGUAACA
rnacentral:rRNA from 1 species